UACGGGGGGGGCAAGCGUUGUUCGGAAUAACUGGGCGUAAAGGGCGCGUAGGCGGUCGGGUAAGUGGGAUGUGAAAGCUCUGGGCUCAACCCAGGAAUUGCAUUCCAUACUGCUCGACUUGAGUUCGGUAGAGGAGAGCGGAAUUCCAGGUGUAGCGGUGAAAUGCGUAGAUAUCUGGAGGAACACCCGUGGCGAAGGCGGCUCUCUGGUCCGAUACUGACGCUGAGGCGCGAAAGCUAGGGUAGCAAACAGG
rnacentral:rRNA from 1 species